CAAAAAUAUAUAUUAUAAUAUUAGCAGAAAAUUAUAAUUAAAAGAGGAGUAUUUUUAUAUAGAAUACUAAAAUCAGUUUUCCAUUUAGUCUGGGCGAUUGUAACCAUGUUUAAGGCUGCAACUAGACUUGAUGGUACGAAGUAUUGCCAUAGCAGCUGCGCGGCAACAAUGAGAGUAACAAUCAGUAAUAUUAGCAGCAAAAG